rnacentral:rRNA from 1 species
GACGAACGCUGGCGGCGUGCUUAACACAUGCAAGUCGAACGGAAUCCAUGGUGUAGCAAUACACCGGAAGAUUUAGUGGCGAACGGGUGAGGAUCACGUGAGAAACGUGCCCCAGACUCUGGGAUAACAAUUGGAAGCGAUUGCUAAUACCGGAUGACGUCGGAGAAUCGCAUGAUUCACUGACGAAAGAUAUUUCGGUUUGGGAGCGUCUCGCGGCCUAUCAGCUUGUUGGUGGGGUAAUGGCCUACCAGGGCAACGACGGGUAGCUGGUCUGAGAGGAUGAUCAGCCACACUGGGACUGAGACACGGCCCAGACCCCUACGGGAGGCAGCAGUGGGGAAUCUUGCGCAAUGGGCGAAAGCCUGACGCAGCAACGCCGCGUGCGGGAUGAAGGCCUUCGGGCUGUAAACCGCUUUCAGCAGGAACGAAAAUGACGGUACCUGCAGAAGAAGGAGCGGCCAACUACGUGCCAGCAGCCGCGGUGACACGUAGGCUCCAAGCGUUGUCCGGAUUUAUUGGGCGUAAAGAGCUCGUAGGCGGUUGAGUAAGUCGGGUGUGAAAACUCUGGGCUUAACCCGGAGACGCCAUCCGAUACUGCUCUGACUAGAGUUCAGGAGGGGAGUGGGGAAUUUCUAGUGUAGCGGUGAAAUGCGCAGAUAUUAGGAGGAACACCGGUGGCGAAGGCGCCACUCUGGACUGAAACUGACGCUGAGGAGCGAAAGCAUGGGUAGCAAACAGGAUUAGAUACCCUGGUAGUCCAUGCCGUAAAC